CCUACGGGAGGCAGCAGUAGGGAAUAUUGCUCAAUGGGGGAAACCCUGAAGCAGCAACGCCGCGUGGAGGAGGAAGGUUUUAGGAUUGUAAACUCCUUUUGUUAGAGAAGAUUAUGACGGUAUCUAACUAAUAAGCACCGGCUAACUCCGUGCCAGCAGCCGCGGUAAUACGUAGGGGGCAAGCGUUACUCGGAAUCACUGGGGGUAAAGAGUGCGUAGACGGGGUAAUAAGUCAGAUGGGAAAGCCCGGGGCUCAACCACAGGACUGCAUUUGAAACUGUUAUUCGGGAGUGCUGGAGUGGUAAGCGGAAUGCCUGGGGGAGGGGUAAAAUGCGUAGAGAUUAAGAGGAACACCGGUUGCGAAGGCGGCCUGCUGGA
rnacentral:rRNA from 1 species